rnacentral:rRNA from 1 species
CGUAGGGGAACCUGCGGAGGGAUCAUUAACGUUUUC